ACUCAUCACUCAUUAUUCAUUCGUAUAACCUCACGACAUUAGGGUGAGGGUCUCUACAGGAAGCCUUAACUUCCUAACUACGAAUAUAGGACAUCUUCGA
rnacentral:ncRNA from 2 species